UACUGAGGGAAAAGGAUUUAUUCGCCUUAGAUGGACUCGCGUCCAAUUAGCUAGUUGGUGAGGUAACGGCCCACCAAGGCGACGAUUGGUAGCCGGACUGAGAGGUUGAACGGCCACAUUGAGACUGACACACGGCCC
rnacentral:rRNA from 1 species